rnacentral:rRNA from 1 species
UACGGAGGCAGCAGUGGGGAAUAUUGCACAAUGGGCGAAAGCCUGAUGCAGCUAUGCCGCGUGUAUGAAGAAGGCCUUAGGGUUGUAAAGUACUUUCAUCGGGGAGGAAAAACAAAACUAAUAAUUUUAUUUCUUGACGUUACCCGAAAAAGAAGCACCGGCUAACUCCGUGCCAGCAGCCGCGGUAAUACGGAGGGUGCUAGCGUUAAUCAGAAUUACUGGGCGUAAAGAGCACGUAGGUGGUUUUUUUAAGUCAGAUGUGAAAUCCCUGGGCUUAACCUAGGAACUGCAUUUUGAAACUGAAAUACUAGAGUAUCGUAGAGGGAGGUAGAAUUCUAGGUGUAGCGGUGAAAUGCGUAGAUAUCUGGAGGAAUACCUGUGGCGAAAGCGGCCUCCUAAACGAAUACUGACACUGAGGUGCGAAAGCGUGGGGAGCAAACAGGGAUUAGAUACC